rnacentral:rRNA from 1 species
UACAGAGGAUGCAAGCGUUAUCCGGAAUGAUUGGGCGUAAAGCGUCUGUAGGUGGCUUUUUAAGUCCGCCGUCAAAUCCCAGGGCUCAACUCUGGACAGGCGGUGGAAACUACCAAGCUGGAGUACGGUAGGGGCAGAGGGAAUUUCCGGUGGAGCGGUGAAAUGCGUAGAGAUCAGGGGGAACACCGAUGGCGAAGGCAGCGCUCUGGCCGACGACCGACGCUGAGGCGCGAAAGCUGGGGGAGCAAACGGG